GACGAACCGUGCGAACGUUGUUCGGAUUCACUGGGCUUAAAGGGCGCGUAGGCGGGUUACCAAGUCAGGGGUGAAAUCUUUCGGCUCAACCGGAAAAGUGCCCCUGAUACUGGUAGUCUUGAGGGAGGUAGGGGCAUGUGGAACUUCCGGUGGAGCGGUGAAAUGCGUAGAUAUCGGAAGGAACGCCGGUGGCGAAAGCGACGUGCUGGAUCUCUUCUGACGCUGAGGCGCGAAAGCCAGGGUAGCGAACGGG
rnacentral:rRNA from 1 species